rnacentral:rRNA from 1 species
UACGAAGGGGGCUAGCGUUGCUCGGAAUCACUGGGCGUAAAGGGUGCGUAGGCGGGUCUUUUAAGUCAGGGGUGAAAUCCUGGAGCUCAACUCCAGAACUGCCUUUGAUACUGAAGAUCUUGAGUUCGGGAGAGGUGAGUGGAACUGCGAGUGUAGAGGUGAAAUUCGUAGAUAUUCGCAAGAACACCAGUGGCGAAGGCGGCUCACUGGCCCGAGUACUGACGCUGAGGCACGAAAGCGUGGGGAGCAAAC